rnacentral:rRNA from 1 species
GAUGAACGCUAGCGGCAGGCCUAACACAUACAAGUCGAGGGGUAGAAGGAGCUUGCUCCUUUGAGACCGGCGCACGGGUGCGUAACGCGUAUGCAAUCUACCUUUUACAGAGGGGUAACCCAGAGAAAUUUGGAUUAAUACCUCAUAGUAUAUAUCAUUCGCAUGUUUGGUAUAUUAAAGUUCCAACGGUAAAAGAUGAGCAUGCGUCCCAUUAGUUAGUUGGUAAGGUAACGGCUUACCAAGACGAUGAUGGGUAGGGGUCCUGAGAGGGAGAUCCCCCACACUGGUACUGAGACACGGACCAGACUCCUACGGGAGGCAGCAGUGAGGAAUAUUGGUCAAUGGACGCAAGUCUGAACCAGCCAUGCCGCGUGCAGGAAGACGGUCCUAUGGAUUGUAAACUGCUUUUGUACGGGAAGAAACACUCCUACGUGUAGGAGCCUGACGGUACCGUAAGAAUAAGGAUCGGCUAACUCCGUGCCAGCAGCCGCAGUAAAAC